rnacentral:rRNA from 1 species
UUUUUCGGAGAGUUUGAUCCUGGCUCAGGACGAACGCUGGCGGCGUGCCUAAUACAUGCAAGUCGAGCGAACAGAAGGGAGCUUGCUCCCGGAUGUUAGCGGCGGACGGGUGAGUAACACGUGGGUAACCUGCCUGUAAGACUGGGAUAACUCCGGGAAACCGGAGCUAAUACCGGAUAGUUCCUUGAACCGCAUGGUUCAAGGRUGAAAGACGGUUUCGGCUGUCACUUACAGAUGGACCCGCGGCGCAUUAGCUAGUUGGUGGGGUAAUGGCUCACCAAGGCGACGAUGCGUAGCCGACCUGAGAGGGUGAUCGGCCACACUGGGACUGAGACACGGCCCAGACUCCUACGGGAGGCAGCAGUAGGGAAUCUUCCGCAAUGGACGAAAGUCUGACGGAGCAACGCCGCGUGAGUGAUGAAGGUUUUCGGAUCGUAAAGCUCUGUUGUUAGGGAAGAACAAGUGCGAGAGUAACUGCUCGCACCUUGACGGUAC